ensembl:piRNA 21ur-4265 ncRNA
UCGCAUGUUGCAUCCAAUUGA